GACGAACGCUGGCGGCGUGCUUAACACAUGCAAGUCGAACGGAAAGGCCCCCUUGUGGGGUACUCGAGUGGCGAACGGGUGAGUAACACGUGAGUAACCUACCCUUGACUUUGGGAUAACUUCAGGAAACUGGGGCUAAUACCGGAUAGGAGCUCCUGCUGCAUGGUGGGGGUUGGAAAGUUUCGGCGGUUGGGGAUGGACUCGCGGCUUAUCAGCUUGUUGGUGGGGUAGUGGCUCACCAAGGCUUUGACGGGUAGCCGGCCUGAGAGGGUGACCGGCCACAUUGGGACUGAGAUACGGCCCAGACUCCUACGGGAGGCAGCAGUGGGGAAUAUUGCACAAUGGGCGGAAGCCUGAUGCAGCAACGCUGCGUGCGGGAUGACGGCCUUCGGGUUGUAAACCGCUUUCGCCUGUGACGAAGCGUGAGUGACGGUAAUGGGUAAAGAAGCACCGGCUAACUACGU
rnacentral:rRNA from 1 species